AUACGUAUCUGCAAAGAUUUCGAAAUAAUUGGUGGAAUUCAAUGGAGGUUACUUAACUCUUCUUAGACGGUUCAAUAUAUUCCACUAAAAAGAGCUUAAAAUAUUUAUGUCAUGUCGAUGUUUGUCAAUAAAACAACCUAGCACAUAACCUCUUAAACUUGUGUUUAUGUUUUGUGCUUCUGCUGGUUUCGCUUCUGGGACUGGCUAUAUUAUAAUCGAAAAAUGAGUCGCAAAUGUAAAUUUUAUUGGUGCAGCAAUCAACAAGGUCACGGCAUUUCCUUUUAUCAGUUCACAGUUGGCACAAAAAUGUGUAAAAAUGUUGUUUUUCGGAAGCAACACAACUGUUUACUGCAGAAGGACCGCAAGCAUUAAGGAACAAACGUAUUUGCUCCGAUCACUUUCCUCUCAAUGUAUUCAAAGAAAGAAAGAGGUAAUGUUUGCCAAACAUGAAUCAUACAUUCUAGUCUAAGUUUGAAUUGUACAUUAAUGUUAGUUCCAAACGCCUACAUAUGAAGGAAAUUCCAUGAAGGUCGUCAUAACGAAUUACUUCCUGUCGGAACAACAUCAUGUCAUUACUUGGAGGAAGAAACCGUAGAGUUCACUGAAGGAGACUUGGAUUAUUUAGAAUGGCAGCAAUGUACACAGGCCCAUGUCAAUGUUGACUCCAACAGUUUGGACAGGCGGAAGACAAGCAUAAAUCUCUUUAUUCAGCGCAUGGGCGUAGCCAGGAUUUCGAGAAGGGGGGCGAACUUUUUUGGUCUUCUAAAUCGUAGUUUUAUAGUAGUUUUAUAAAAACACAUGAAUAUUAACACAUGAAACCAAAUCGAAACAAUAAUGGAUUUAAAAAUGCGUGAUUUAUUGCUCAUCAGAUAUUUUUAAAUAAAGUAAGAAAAAUAUUAACGAACUUAGUAUUCAGAAAGAAUAUAAAAUCGGCUAUAACAAUUAUUAUAAAAAUCCUGC